UACGAAGGGGGCUAGCGUUGCUCGGAAUCACUGGGCGUAAAGGGUGCGUAGGCGGGUCUUUUAAGUCAGGGGUGAAAUCCUGGAGCUCAACUCCAGAACUGCCUUUGAUACUGAAGAUCUUGAGUUCGGGAGAGGUGAGUGGAACUGCGAGUGUAGAGGUGAAAUUCGUAGAUAUUCGGAAGAACACCAGUGGCGAAGGCGGCUCACUGGCCCGGUACUGACGCUGAGAUACGAAAGCGUGGGGAGCAAACAGG
rnacentral:rRNA from 1 species